rnacentral:tRNA from 1 species
UCUAAUGUGGCAGAUUAGUGCAAUGGAUUUAAGAUCUAUAAAUAAAGCUUCCUUUCUUUAGAA